CCCACGCUGUUGGGGCGGGGGCGGGGGGGGGGUUGUUCUUUUGCUCCUUGGGUCCACACUGCGUUUAUGAGCUGUAAUAUUCACCGCAAAGGUCUGCAGCUUCACUACUAAGCCAACGAGACCACAAACCCACCAGGAGGAACGACAAUUCCAGACGCGUGGCUUUAACAGCUGUUAACACUCACCGCGAAGGUCUGUAGCUUCAUUUCUGAGUCAGCGAGACCACGAACCCACCAGAAAGAAGAAACUCCGAACACACCCGAACCUCAGAAGGAACAAAUUCCGGACACGCCGCCUUUAAGAACUGUAACACUCACCACAAGGGUCCGCGGCUUCAUUCUUGAAGUCAGUGAGACCAAGAACCCACUAAUUCCGGACACACUUUGACCAGCAGAGCAGGCAGAAGUAAAGCCACGGUUCACAGAAGUGGUGAGGGGAAUACGUGGGUCCUAGGCGGACGCUGUCUAUAUCUGGUACAGGGGCAAAAGCACAGAGGUGUUCUCCAAUUGCCCCAAGCCCCGCAGGAGCAGGCACAGAGGGAAGUGAGGGCUUCCAGUCCCCUGGGCCCCUAAUUUCUGAAUAGUUCCCCGAUCCCCCACCUCACGCUCUUCCUGAUGUCUGGUCUUUUUCUGGUUCCGUGUCUAGGCUGCCCCGGCUGGACACAGGCUCAAUCUUGCUGGAAUCUGUCCUCUUACUCCCCUACCCCAGCCCAGUGCCCCACCAGCGUGCUCCACUCAGCAUCCUGAUUUUCCCUGGAAUGUGCCACUUUGCCACCAUUUCCCUUUCAACAGAUGGAAUAUAGCAAGUUCGCUUUCUGUAUCAAUCAUGUCACAAAUCAUUAAGCAUAUCGACAUCAAGCAGAGCCAGCCUGUGUAGUCGCAAAGGGGUCGGGUGUUCUUCCACUGCCGAGCAGGCAGGUGCCACUACCUCGUCCUCAACUGUCAGGAGUCCCACCCACUUGGGGGCCCCAAGCCAGCGGCCCCAACCUGCUCUUAGCUCCACAGGGUAGCACGGAGGUCAUGUGAUUUAUCUGGAUCCUCUGCAGGAACCCUUCCCCAGACCACAGCUUUAACAGCCGAUCUUCAGAAGCCAGAGACAGGAGGUCCUGACAAAGGGCAGUCCAGCUCUGCAUUCAUCUAACAGCAAAAGCUGGUUGCACAGCCACCCAGGGCUUCCACAGCCUCCCCCAACGCCAGUGCCCUGGGUCCAAGAGCAGAAUCUCAGUGUUCCUGCAGAAGUCACCAUGGAAGAAUAAUCGUGUUGUGAUUUUGAAAGGAAAUUGAAAUCCCCUCUUUACUGCUUUCUAAAUGAACCUUAUAAUUUUCUCCCUGUCUACAACCUCCCUGUGCACUGGCUUCUCUGUAUCUGUGUGCAUAUUUGUGCGAGAGAGAGUGAGCUCAGUUCUAGCAAGUAGGGCCUCUGGUGGAUCCGCGGGAAGGACCCGUCACCCAGCAGGAUGGAGUGUGAGCUCUGUGGCCAGGAGUCA
rnacentral:lncRNA from 1 species